rnacentral:rRNA from 1 species
AACGAACGCUGGCGGCAUGCCUAACACAUGCAAGUCGAACGAGACCUUCGGGUCUAGUGGCGCACGGGUGCGUAACGCGUGGGAAUCUGCCCUUGGGUUCGGAAUAACAGUGAGAAAUUACUGCUAAUACCGGAUGAUGUCUUCGGACCAAAGAUUUAUCGCCCAGGGAUGAGCCCGCGUAGGAUUAGCUAGUUGGUGGGGUAAUGGCCUACCAAGGCGACGAUCCUUAGCUGGUCUGAGAGGAUGAUCAGCCACACUGGGACUGAGACACGGCCCAGACUCCUACGGGAGGCAGCAGUGGGGAAUAUUGGACAAUGGGCGAAAGCCUGAUCCAGCAAUGCCGCGUGAGUGAUGAAGGCCUUAGGGUUGUAAAGCUCUUUUACCCGGGAUGAUAAUGACAGUACCGGGAGAAUAAGCUCCGGCUAACUCCGUGCCAGCAGCCGCGGUAAUACGGAGGGAGCUAGCGUUGUUCGGAAUUACUGGGCGUAAAGCGCGCGUAGGCGGCUGCUCAAGUCAGAGGUGAAAGCCCGGGGCUCAACCCCGGAACUGCCUUUGAAACUAGGUAGCUAGAAUCUUGGAGAGGUCAGUGGAAUUCCGAGUGUAGAGGUGAAAUUCGUAGAUAUUCGGAAGAACACCAGUGGCGAAGGCGACUGACUGGACAAGUAUUGACGCUGAGGUGCGAAAGCGUGG